rnacentral:rRNA from 1 species
UCUACCUACGGGGGGCAGCAGUGAGGAAUAUUGGUCAAUGGGCGCGAGCCUGAACCAGCCCCGUUGCGUGCAGGCUGACUGCCCUACGGGUUGUAAACUUCUUUUAUAAAGGAAUAAAGUGAGGCACGUGUGCCUUUUUGUAUGUACUUUAUGAAUAAGGAUCGGCUAACUCCGUGCCAGCAGCCGCGGUAAUACGGAGGAUCCGAGCGUUAUCCGGAUUUAUUGGGUUUAAAGGGAGCGUAGAUGGGUUGUUCAGUCAGUUGUGAAAGUUUGCGGCUCAACCGUA